rnacentral:rRNA from 1 species
UACGUAGGGAGCGAGCGUUGUCCGGAAUUACUGGGUGUAAAGGGAGCGUAGGCGGGAUAUCAAGUUGAAUGUGAAAUCUACCGGCUCAACUGGUAGGCUGCGUUCAAAAAUGAUAUUCUUGAGUGAAGUAGAGGUUGGCGGAAUUCCUAGUGUAGCGGUGAAAUGCGUAGAUAUUAGGAGGAACACCAGUGGCGAAGGCGGUCAACUGGGCUUUUACUGACGCUGAGGCUCGAAAGCGUGGGGAGCAAACAGG